UCCAACAGACCUUCCUACAACAACUCGUACACCUACAACUUUCCUUAAUGCUACAACGCCAGGCCCCAUUACACACACCUUUCCACAGUCAACUACAGUACGCUCUCCAACUGAAGAAGCCACUACAGCUACAUCAAACCUGACAACAUCAGCAAGACUGGAAAUUACCGUUGAUUCCACGGUUGAUCUUGACAGGGAUACAAUUAUUCCAUUUGUGCAAGAGGUGCAAAAUCUGCUGAAACAUUUGAACGUAAAUAUUAAGAUUACAGUGAAAUCCAUCAGGAAAAAAUAACAACCCCACUGACUACAAAAACCCCUCCAACUAUAACAACCCCUCCCGCUACAACAUCUGCUCCUACUACAGCAACCACUGCAACUACAACAGAUCCUCUCAUAAGAACAUCCACUCCAACCAACAACAAGAAGCCCUGGAACAACAAGGCUUGCUCCAACUACAACAGCUGAUUCAAAUACAACCGCCACUCCAAAUACUACAACAGUUUCUCAUACUGAAACUGCUCCAAUAAAAGGACAGCUUCUACAACAACAACCACCGUUGCUGUGUUGUCGUAGGUUUUUUUGCAGAUCAACUUUCAAGAUUAUAAUCACUCAUAACAGCAAACGGCAUUUCCAUUGAAUUUGUCGACAGCUAUAAAUGCUUAGGAAUCUGGUUGGACAAAAAACUAAAUUUUAAACAUCACAUUGAAUGUCUAGCUAAGAAGCUGAAAUUCACACUCAGCUUUGUGUACAGGUUGAAGUCUUGUUUCUUGAUGUCUUCAAGGAAACCUUUAGUUGCCGGGCUUUUCCUGCCACAGCUUGACUAUGGUGAUACUGUUUACAGAUUUGCCUGUCCCUCUACUUUGGCUAAGCUCGACCCCCUGUAUCAUUCAGCCUUGAGAUACAUUACAAAUUCUAAUUAUAGGACCCAUCACUGUGUCUUGUACAACCUAGUUGACUGGCCAUCCCUUGCAAUGCAUAGGAUGCAGCACUGGUAUAUUUUUAUCUAUAAAGCUAUCCUUUGUAAACUGCCCAGGUACAUAAACUUUAUUCUUGCAAGGUAGUCACAACCUAAGAUCUCAAAAGUGGUUGCACUGUACGGUACCUGCUGUCUGAACUGAGGCGGGCAAGAUGAGCUUGUUCUAUCAAGGCUCAUGGGCCUGGAACGAGCUGCAGGCUAAACUCAAACUUGAUUAUCUCAUCUCGUUACCAGAUUUUAAAAGACUGAUAAUUGUUAUUUUGUCUGUGACUUGUUCUUGUUUUAAACCCUGAACUUAUUUAACACUGUUUUAGUUUAUGUAUUUUAUCAUGUUGGUUGUUUUAUUCUGCUACUGUUUCUUUCUAUUCUGCUAUUGUUGUCAUUGUUGUUGUUUUGUAUGCUGUUUUAUUCUGCUUUGGCCCUGUCUUGGCUAGGUCUCACUUGUAAAAGUGGUUUUAAUCUCAAUGUGACUUCUUAGUCAAAUGAAGGUUUACUAUAUAACUCUGUUACCUUUUGGGUGAACUUAUGUGAAUGUAUAUAUGUAUAUCUAUAAAUAUAAAGCUGGGAUAGACCUGUAUGUUGUUUUAAUACAUUUAACACAAAUUAAGGAUAUUUAAAAACCAUGGACUUUACAGCAUCCAUCAUUUAAUGUAAAAUUGAAAUAUGUUUUGUCCCGAAUUCCUAAUUUUUCUGCUGUGUAGGUGCCUGGUUCUGUCAUAGAAUAAAUUACAGAAAAAGAA